GGAAGUUAAGAAACGGUUUCUUAAUUUUUUUAACUAAAAAAGCUAAGAACUGGUUCUUAAAUAAGGACUUUAAGAACCGGUUCUUAGUUUUUUUAGUUAAAAGUUAAGAAACAGUUUCUUAACUUCC
rfam:Brassica napus, WGS project CCCW01000000 data, contig: 12573